rnacentral:rRNA from 1 species
UUGACCUCAGAUCAUGUAGGAAUACCCGCUGAACUUAAGCAUAUCAAUAAGCGGAGGAAAACACACCAACAGGGAUUGUCCUAGUAACGGCGAGUGAAGCGACAACAGCUCAAAUUUGAAAU